AGUGAACGCUGGCGGUAGGCCUAACACAUGCAAGUCGAACGGCAGCACAGUAAGAGCUUGCUCUUACGGGUGGCGAGUGGCGGUCGGGUGAGGAAUACAUCGGAAUCUACUUUUUCGUGGGGGAUAACGUAGGGAAACUUACGCUAAUACCGCAUACGACCUACGGGUGAAAGCAGGGGAUCUUCGGACCUUGCGCGAUUGAAUGAGCCGAUGUCGGAUUAGCUAGUUGGCGGGGUAAAGGCCCACCAAGGCGACGAUCCGUAGCUGGUCUGAGAGGAUGAUCAGCCACACUGGAACUGAGACACGGUCCAGACUCCUACGGGAGGCAGCAGUGGGGAAUAUUGGACAAAGGGCGCAAGCCUGAUCCAGCCAUACCGCGUGGGUGAAGAAGGCCUUCGGGUUGUAAAGCCCUUUUGUUGGGAAAGAAAAGCAGCAGGUUAAUACCCCGCUGUUCUGACGGUACCCAAAGAAUAAGCACCGGCUAACUUCGUG
rnacentral:rRNA from 1 species